UGUUUCCUCUUCUGACCUCCCGUUUUACAUCCCUCGCAGUCGCAGAUGGUCUCCACGAGAAGGUCUCCGAGCUCCUCGUCUCGUCGGGUGCAAUUCGAUUCACGUGAAUUUAAGGGGCGCGCCCAUCUGCACCCAGCUCCUUGAAGCAGAAUUCACUUGUCUAGCCUGACAGACCCUAAUGUAUAGGUUUGUGCUUUGCUAGCUGAAUUACUCCGUGCUUUCUGUGGAUGUUACUUCAAAGACUCAUCAAAUUUCCGCCUACGCCGCUCUAUGUCUGAGAAGUUGAAGCAAUUUUGCGUGGAAGUUUCGUUUCCCUUCGAUGUCCGAGAAGAGAGCUCCUAGGAAGUUCGUCCGCUCGGUGGACUGGAGCAAUAUCCAGAUCCAGUCACUGUCUCCGAUCAUCCUUAUAUCUCACUGCCUCUUCUGUUUUGUAGCAGUCACAUCAGUUCAUAUGUGCAUAUCAGAGGAAAUAUGCUUUCACCAGGCGUGUUGGACCCAGCAUACCAAGUUCCCAGGUUGCAAAUAUGAUCCUAGCUAGCCAUUAAUAUGAUGGUUCCACAUUUUCUUAGCAUGAGGACUCUGCUAAUCAGUGUAACAAAUAUGUUGUUGCGCUGCCUAAUUUGUGCUAAUUCUGAAAAUAUGUGCCCCUAAUCUCUGAUAAUAGUAUGCGCAGACCCAAAAUGUCGGAGUUCUUAAGGACAUGCAAGUACUUAUUCUGUGCUUUUCCUGCUGAAAUGCACUUUAGUAUAUCAAAAUGACACUUCAUGAGGUGUUCGAAUUUUCUACUCACAUUCAGAUCGAGGGGUAGCGCACCAACCAACUGGUGCAAGCUGUACACUGAUGGCAUCCAGUCUGCCCUUCCAGUCAAUUUAUAAGUUACCAAUCCUGUUCGUCUGUCUUUUCUGUGAUCUGAUUCACGACUUAUGAGGCACACCCAUCUAUGUGCCAGAUGUCUGAAUCAGGAGGGUCAGGAAGCAGAAUUCAGCUGUGUAACCUGACAAUGAUUUGCAGGAGAAGCGAUUGGUGUGGGCUUUCUGUUUCUAAGUUUGUCCGCUCGGUGGACUGGAGCGAUAUCCAAGUUAGUUGCAGCGUCCAAUCAUCCAUAUAUGUCAUCGUUCCGUCUGUUUUGUACCGUCAUAUUUCAUAUGUGCAUUGGAUAAAAUGUGCUUUCUGUACGCAUGUUUAGAGUGGACCGAGUCACAGAUCUCAUUUAUAUGGCCAUAGGUAGUGAUCAAUAAAAGGGCACUGGAAUUUAUCUUCUAACGUCACUACUGUUUUAGUCUCUCUGCCUUUAUUUUUGUUGCUUCCGUUGUAUGGUUUAAAAGUUAGGCUUCAUCUGAUUUUAGUUGGUGAUGCUGAUAUAGAGAAUUCCAUAUGGCCAUUUUUUCCGGUUUCAUUGUCUCACAAUAACGGAGCUUAUUAAGCCCGCGAAACUGGAUCGCUUGCUCAUACAUAUCUUUCCCCGUGGAAUAGCAGAUUGUCAAGCUGUGUCUUAUCAUAUCAGUAUAUUAAGUAUAUAUCAUUUGUCCAUAUGAGCAAGAGAUAAUUAUCUAGCAGCUUAUUAUGCUCAUCUCUGAGAUCGAUCAUGCCCCUUCAAUGUUAGUUAGAGGUAUCAUUAGAAAAGGGUCUUCUCUCUUCAGCAGGAAGCAUGUGAUGCAUUCAAGAUUCAAUGAAUUCACGAAAACCAUAUUGUGGUCCUCCCUGUGCGGCAGGUACUCGAGAUGAAUAGUUUUUUGUAAGUGCACUGUAUGGCUGCUGUCACCCGGCAGGGGAGGUAAUUGUUCAAUUUGCAUUCCUGCAACUUCUUAUAUCUGGAAAGAAAAUUCUUACUAUUUUGCUGAGUUCACAGCCAAUGCAUCUUCUGAAAAACUGCAUUGGAUGUACUGACAUAAAUAUAUAGUAUAAUGAUGAUCUAAUAGCAAAUUAUAUGGCGAUAGGCAGUGAUGAUCAAUAAAUGGGCACUGGAAAUUAUCUUCUAACGUCUACAUCACUAUCGUUUUAGCUCCUCUACCUCUAUUUUUGUUGCUUCCGCUGUAUGGUUAUGCAGUUAGACUUCAUCUGUUUUUUGUUAGUUAAGCCGAUCUCGUUAAGCUGAUAAAAAGUUUUGCAUACGGCCCUUUACUCCUGUUUUCACAUACUGUAUCUUUCAUCGUCGAAUAACUGGAGAUUGUCAAGUUGUGUCUUAUCAUAUCAGUAUAUUAAGUAUGCCAUUUGUCGAUAUGAAGAGAUAAUCAUCUACCAGAUGAUUAUGCUCAUUUUUGAGAUCCGAUCCUGUACUUAUUGUUAACUAGAGGUGUCACUAAAAAAGGACAAGAAAAUAACCACUUGCCUCCGGUUCUUCUCUCUUCAGCAUGAAGCAUGUGAUGCAUUCAAGUUUCAGUGAAUUUACAAAAACCAAUAUUGGUGGUCAUCGAGAUGAAUUGUUUUUUUGUAGGUGCACUGUAUGUGUGCUGUCACCUGUCAGUGGAGGCAAUUGUUUAAUUUGCACUCCUGUGACUUCUUGUAUUUGGAAAGAAAAUUCUUACUAUUUUGCUGAGCUCA